UAUUGCCCCAGAUUUCUCCUUCCCUAAAACUUUAUCUCUCUCUCUCUUAAAUCUUAUUUAGAUGCGGUUUCUCUUUCCAUCUUCUUCAUCUUUUCCCCCGAACAGAAACUACCAAACCCUAACUCUGAAUCCCUUGUUUCAUUAUAAUUCAUUCUACUAAUAUACUUCAUUCAAACUAAACUCUCCCAGAACCCAUGAUUCGAUCUGUAGCUUUGCAUCAAUAUCUUCGAUCUGUGAUAUUUUCUUCUUUCUUCAAUUUCUUCGAUCUGUAUCAUUUCCUUAUCUUCAAUUUCUUCGAUUGGUUCCAAUCAACUAUUCUUCUAUUUUGUCUUAUAACCAAAGAAGAAAUCGAACCUCCUUUCAUUUCAUUAUCAGUAGCAAAUCGAAGAAGAGUUCAACAGAAAUCAGUGAUGAAGAAGUUUUGGUUUGAAGCAAUUCUUCAAUUAGGAAUUAUCAGUGAAUUUCUUUGUGUUAUGGGUAAUUCUCAGUAUUAUAUCUACAAAUGGCAGGAUAAUGCUGAGCAAAACUACAAUUAUGAAGAUCUUACAUGAAAUAGUAAAGAUGGGAGCUGGGUUCAAGAUGACAAAAAAGAUAUUCCUCGCCAUGUCCGAGUGAAAACUUUGCUGCAUCACAACUUUCGUGAGUGACUGCAAAUGGAUCUUUUUGGAUAUGCUCUCGCUCAAGUUGAUGUGCUGGAUAUGUGCCACUUCGGCACAAUUAUCAUAGACUUGGCAUGUCCGUACUCCAAGACCUGUUGCAUCAAAACUUGCCAUUAGGCAGGUGACGAGUUGUAUCAUUUUUCGCAGAGUCCCGCUCAAUGAAUCAUGUCAUGACCGGUCUAAAUGCAACGUGUUCUCGAUCCUCUUCUGCCCUCAGUUCUUGAGGUACUUGUAUCGUUCCUGGAGCAUUUGGUUGUGGAAUGACGGUCAUUAGUCAAGCUCUUUCUAAGGUGGGGUUGUUGUUUACGAUUGAUUUAGGUGUUGUAGAUGUUGGAAACUCUUAUUUGCACUAGCUCGUUUGUUACUAAUCUGUAAGUAAUCUUCAACCUUCUUUAUAUCUAUGUUCUAGUUAGUAUUGUUGGUGUACUGAGUUUAUCUUUGAAGGAGUUGUAAGCACUGUCAACCAAAUCUAUGUGAUUUCUCUUUUGCUUCAAGUAGAUUUUUAUUUAUUUUGAUGAAGUGUGUUUAUCAUGUUUUUAAGCAAUAAAUGAAGUUAAAUGUAGCUUGCAUUCCCUUCACAUGCAUACCACUAGGUUAUAUAUAAGAUACAAUCAAAGGCUUGAAUCAUUUUAGCAUUAAACUUCAAUAAUUUAUGCCACUGGAACUUUAUAACUUUUACAAUAUUGCUUUAAUCAUCAAUUGCUUAUGCUUAUACCUUUUUCCUAUUUGAUGGAAUUAUGUUCUAUGUUGUGGUUUUAAUGGAUGUUUCUUAAAAUAAAUGACCGUCAUAUUUAAGUUUUUGGAGCAUUAACAUAAAGAUUUACAACAUUAUUGUUGUUUGCUUCGGAUAUGCUUGUUGUUUACCUGGGCCUACUAAUUUCAAAGACUAAUGCAGCUUCUUAUUAUGUUGGUUGGGUACUCGUGUUUCGUAUCGUAGGAGUUGCUGGAUACACUUGCUGGAUCUUCUUUGGUGGGCAGGAUGAUAACAAGUAAAGCCUGUCUUCAUGGAAGAUAUUGUGACCUACGAAUUACUUGAAUUCCCUAGAUAUGAUAUUCUUUGCUUGAAGUAUCCUUUGUAUUGGAGCCCUUUUGUCAGAUUUCAAGUGGAAGCUUACUUCUCCACUAAGGAGGAUGAAGUUGUUGCUGGAAGUUCUCUUGAAGACAUGAUAUUAAAAGAAACCAAUCUAUACUAGUGUUGCUGGAAGUGCUCUUGUACAAUUGAAAUUAAUGAGUGUAUUUUCAAAGUUUUAAUACGUUGAACUGGGGUAAUAUUUAGAUAUUGAAGUUGUAAACUGAAUCCACCUUUUAAUAUAAAUGUUAACUUUGUUUUCAUA